GCCCGCGCCCCCUCCGCGGAGCCCCGAGCGCGGCUCGACCCGGGCCGGCCACGCCGAGCACCCCACCCCGGGCCUGGGGCCUCGGGCCGGAGUGGCGCGGAGGCCGGCGAAGAUGGUGGCGGCUGCUCCGGUGAGUGCGCUCGCUCGCCCUCCCGCUCGCUCGCUCGCCCGGCGCGGGAAACCUGUUGUGCGCUCCGGGCGCGGCGGCGGCGGCGGCGGCGGGACGGCCGGGGCGCGGGGCGGGGGUCGGGCCGUUGGGCGGGCGCCGGGCGAGCCGGGUCGUGGCGCGCACGCGGAGGGGCCGGAGGGGCCCGAGGGGGCGGCGGCCCGGAGCGGCGGGGCCCGGCUCGCCCGGCGCACACAAUGGCCCCCGGGGGCGCUCGCACGAGGGAGGCGCGGGGGGGGGGCGGGCGCGGCGCGGGGCCGUGCGGGCAAAGUUUGUCCCGGGGGCGAGAGUUGAGGCGCCUGCAGAACAAAGCGGCGGCGGCGGCGGCACAUGGGGCGGGCCGCGGGCCGGGAGGGGGCGCGCCCACGAGGAACCGGCGGGCGGGCGAGCGGCCCCGAAACUUUGUGCGCGCCGCGGCUCGCGGGGACGGACGGGGGGUCCCGGGGCCCCCCGCGCUCCGCCCGCGUGGGCUUUGUGUGCCGCCGCCGCGUGGGCUGCUGCCCCCCAGGGUGGGUGGGCGAGCGGGCGGCCCAGAGUUCCCCCCCGGCCGGUGGCCCCCGGAGCGCCCCAGCUCGCGCGCGCGCGGGGGGACGGUGCGGCCCCGGGGCCAGGCGAGCGCGGCGGGGCCGGGCGAGCGGGCUGGGCAGGAGCGGCGGGGCCGCCGCCAUGUUCCUGCGGGGCGGGCCGCGCCGAGCCAGCCAGCGAGCGAGCGAGCGCGCGCGCCGAGGGCGGGGGACAUGGCGGCGACUGCGCGCCGCCGCCGAUUGUUCCCGGCUUAGGCCGCGGGCCGCGUGCGUGCGUGCGUGCGGCGAGCCCCGUGCCCGGCCCCACCUCCCCCGGAGCCGCCGGGCCCGCGGGACACAAAGGACGGACGGACGGACGGCGUGUCCCCCAGCCUCGCUGCGCCCGGGCCUCGCUCGCCUGCUCGCCGCCCAGAAACGGGCGGCGGGCGCGGGGGCCCUGGGCGCGCACGGGCGGCUCUGACCUGCCCCCUGGCGGCCGCGCGGGGACCCGCAGCGCCGCUCGCCCCCUUGUGCGAGCCUGCGAGCGACAUGUGCUGCCUGCCGGCCCGGGCUCCAUGAGCGAGCGUGGCGGGCGGGCGGGCACUUGGCGGUGUGCGGGGCUCCCGUCCGGCUUUCUCUCCAGCAGCCGGCCCCCGGGGGAGCACACCGCAGACGGCAGCGGGCUCGUGGGCUUUUGUUCAUACACGUGGACCUAGCAGCACCCGAAGCUUUGCCCAACGAUACUGGCUGAGAAGGAAGUUUGCCUGCGUGGUGUCUGCCAAUUUGGAGGAAGAAAAGGAGCUGCUGCCUGCAUCUGGGCUUCCUCGCAAGGUACUGACGACACUCAAACCCCCAGCUGGUGGGCCUCAUUUGUGUGUGUACGAUUUUUGUGUGCCCCUUAAUGUGUGGAUUUGGGAAAGAGCCCACAUUCUAAUAGGGAUUGCUUAUAACUUUGAAGAAUGCUAUUCUUAAGGCUUAAAUCUGUACAGUUCUGAACUUGUUGCUUUUAGAUCCUUUUCUCCCGUUGGGUGUAAGCUGAAAUUUGUGUUUGUCACAGGUGCUAGGGCUUUGGGCUGCUGUUCUAAUUAUUUAUUUCAAAUUUAGCAGGAAUGCAGAGCGCGUCACCUUGUGAGACUGGAGACUGAUGGAGUCAGGAUAAUGUCAAAGUGCUUACAGUGCAGGUAGUGAUAUGCACAUCUACUGCAGUGCAGGCACUUGUGGCAUUAUGGUGACAGCCGCCUCGCUCGGGAGCCACGGUGGGCGCGGAGUGACAGCGAGGGCCGCCUGCUGGUGCUGAGUGCUUUUUGUUCUAAGGUGCAUCUAGUGCAGAUAGUGAAGUAGACUAGCAUCUACUGCCCUAAGUGCUCCUUCUGGCAUAAGAAGUUAUGUCGUCACCUAAUGGAGUCGAGCAAGCGUGUAGGGGUCUCUUAAUGGUCUCUGUCUGCAGCCCUCUGUUAGUUUUGCAUACUUGCACUACAAGAAGAAUGCAGUUGUGCAAAUCUAUGCAAAACUGAUGGUGGCCUGCUAUUAACUUCAAGUGUUGUGUUUUCCUUUUCCUUUUUGACUAAUGCUGUGCUUUGGUUGUGUCGAUUAGAGUCUGCGUGGUGUGUGUGACAGACAGCUUCUGUGGCACUAAAGUGCUUAUAGUGCAGGUAGUGUCCACUCAUCUACUGCAUUACGAGCACUUCCAGUGCUGCCAGCUGGAGAGCCCCAGCCUCGCUCGCCCGCUUGCCCGCUCGCCCUUCACCCACUCAAACGGUCCUGGUACUGAGCACUGGUCUAUGGUUAGUUUUGCAGGUUUGCAUCCAGCUGUAUAAUACUCUGCUGUGCAAAUCCAUGCAAAACUGACUGUGGUGGUGAAAAGUCUGUAGAACAGUGAGGGAAAAUCAAACCCCUUUCUACACAGGCUGGGAUUUGUUGCAAUGCUGUGUUUCUCGAUGGUAUUGCACUUGUCCCGGCCUGUUGAGUUUGGUGGGGAUUGUGACCAGAAGAUGUGAAAAUUAAAUAUUGCUGAAGAUGCCAUGCCGAUUUCCACUGUAAAAAUGUUAUGGUGUACGAACUCGUUGUAACUUUUAUUGCUUUCACUAGUGUAACACAAGUUUUUUUAUUGGAAUUAGGUUUUUAGUUUUACUAAACCAUUUCACUUGGGGUUUGCAUGUCUGGUUUACAGGUUUUUUGUGUGUGGGCUUAGAGACCCACAGGUAUUCUGGUAUGUUGUUACAGUGGUGCCCUACUCUUACUUGGAACCUAGAGGGUCCAGGUUUAUUUUACUCAAACCCUUAUUCAAUUGACAGGAGUUAACAAAACUAGUCUUUGAAUCACUGUGUAGAGAGGGUUUUUCUAUUAAAGUGUGACAUUUAGGAUGAGGUUUUUCUGGUGCUACUGUUGCUGAUGCGUGAGAUUGGUGGCAGCAGCUAACAGGUGGUUAGCUCUGUGUUGCUGGUGUGCAUGCCGUGUAAGUAGGACCUUCAAACUGUUAGCAUGUGCUGCCUGAAAAAGCAAAGAUGACGAACAAGGUGCACUGGAAUUCAUAUCAGAAAAUGUUUGCAGUUAGAGUUCCUGUGUCUAGAAUUGGGCAGCACUGUUGGUUCCAGGCUGUGUGAAAAGAUGCCAUUGGAAUGAAACCUAAGAAUAGUCAAAUGAAUAAGGGUGAGCCGUUAAACCAGAUCAGAGCUGAUAGUAUUUAGGCAAGUGUAUAACCCUGAAAAAAGGAUUGUCUUAAUUUGAAAUUUUCAUAGCCUUUGCUUUAGACCGCCCAAAGUUAAGUUUGCUGUCUCUUGUGUUCUGCUUUUUAAAAGAAAUGUAAGAAGCUUAAGUCUUGGAUUCCUGAGCAGCAAGGUAAGGACUUUGCAUAUGUGGAGUUGACUGUAAGAUACCAGGUUCAGGAUCAUCAGAAUUGUACAAUGAUUAAGAGUUCUUACACCUUAGGAGUGAAUUAAAGUUGCUUUAGGUGAUUACUUAAACAUUGUUUAACAUGGCAAGUCCUAUAAUAAUAUCAACAUGAUUCAUGUACUUCUAUAUAAAGGGGUUCUAUCAAUUGUGUAUUCUUAGUGUCAUUGGAUGGCAUUUGUGUUUAGAAUGUUGUUGACUUGAAUUGAGAUUUCAUUCUAGUAAGGAAAGUGAUAAAUACAUUUCCUUAUGGGCCUCACAGUAAAGCAGAGUUUUUUCCAAGAUUCUUUUCAGUUUUCACUUAAAAAGUUUGGCUCCACACUAAGAGCAUCAAGCAGAUCUAUAAAUUUUGUUUCAACAGAUGGGGAGACCACUUGAUGUCUUGUUUCUAAUUUAAAAACAGAUUAGGUCUUUACACAUUGAUGUUGGUGACUUAGGCCUGAAGGCUCUUUCAGGAAAGGAGACUUACUGUUUUCUUGUAUGUUGAAUGUAAAUAGUUCUUAAGUUUGUCCUGUACUAGGAAGGAGGCACUAUUAAGACUUUACAAAGUGUUGAUUUCACUAAAAGCCCUUGAGAUGUUCGUUUUCACAGGCAAGCCUAAGCACAGAAAACCAACCAGCUGGACUUUUCCUUCCCUGUGCGUGGUUUGAAGAGUCAGUGCUACGUAAUUCCUGACACAGUGCAACCUGCAGCUGCUGGGAGAGAGAACGAUUCAGGGUUACUAAGUCUGUUGUAUGUAUAUGGACUUCUGUUCUGUAACUGACACUAUGUGGUUGUCUGUCCUCAGAGCAUUAGUAGGUGAGUCAGGCUAAGCAGUGGAGAAACUCAGUGGGCAGGGUCCAUUCUGGGUGUCUUAAUGACUGCCAGUGAGCCCCCCGUCACCUUGUAUAGAGGUGUCUGCUUUGUCACAAUUCUGGGCUUUUCUGUUUGGGUAAGCAGUUUAUAUCAUAUUGCUAAUUUAUAAAGGAUCUGCUCAGAAAGUGCCCUGUGAAUUUUAAGGCAUGGAAGAUUGCUGCAGGGUUUCAGGGUCGUCCCCCCCACACACACACACCCCAUUAUCUGACAUGGGCAGAGCCUUCAGAGGUACAGGGCUAGCAUGGUGACAAACUUAGUGUUGUUCAGUGGUGCAUUUAAUCCUAAUAAAUGCUACCUUUUAAACUUCAUGUACAUAAUGAGUAUGUUGAAAUAAAGUUCACUUGUGGCACUGGUGCUCUUGUAUCUUUUUUUUUCCUACAAGUAGCCUGAAUGUGUUCCCUGUAGAGGGUGUGGGAACCAGUCUUUAAGCAUGGAGUUUGUAUUUCUGUCUUAGUUUUACAGGUAAGAAGAAGCAUUAGGAAAGGUGGUAUAUUCCCUUAAGUCAAACCAAAGGAUAAGGCACAUUAGGCCACCUUUCCAAAUAGACCAGAAGGGCUACCUUGAUUUGGGUUCCUACCAUGAUUUGGAGAGUCACUUUUGAUAUUAGCUGGGCAUGUAAAGUCAUUCUGACUAGGAUGUAUAUACAUGUCAGAAUGUAUUUAAGUGGUGUGCUAAGUUAAAAACUUGACUGGACUGAUGUUCCACAUGUGCAAAGCUGGUUAUAUUGUAAUGUAUUGAAAAUGUUUUUUAAGCAGUGUCACUGAAGAUUUACUACAUUAAUAGAUUUCCAAAAGUCAAGAUACAUUAGAAACAAGGUACCAAUAAAGGCCAUUGCUCAUGCAAUGGAAAUAAGUAAAUGCAAUGUGACUAUAGUACUUCUGUGUACUUCUGUGUAUGUUCAUCUUAUUGAUUAUUGAAUAAAGUACUAUUUGGCCAAUGAGGCAGCAAGUUAGACGGGAGUAGGAGUCAAAGAGGAUUCUGGGAAAUGUAGUAAAGAAGUCAUGAUCCAGGCAGAAAAUGACAUAGUAGGGAGACUCAUAUUUAAGGAAGGACAAGCAGGAGUGGCCCCUUUUCCCCUCCACUCUUCCUCCAGCGGUGCCAUGUGAUCCACCAGCGAGGGAGGACGCCAAUGGAAGGCGUCUAAUAAGUCUUAUAAAAUAUAUAGACAGGAUAAUUAAGACUGAGCUAAUAAGAUGAGAAUCCUAGUCAUUGGCCAAGUAGCGUUUGUACCUAAUGUUAGUCUGUGCAUAAAUUGGGGCCCUAACUUGGUGGGCAGAACUCAGUCUACGUGGCAGUAGGGCUCGGGCAGGUUUUGGCGGAAAGAUUCAUUGUAACAAGUAUUAUUGUAUAAAGUAUUGAACAUGAUUGAAAGUGAGUUUUGAGUUUGUUAAUGUGCAUACUUGCUGAGCCACAUGUCCUUGCUUAGGAUCUGACGGUAUGGAUAGAGGACCCCCCCUCCCUAGUAACAGCUAGAGAAGCUAGGACUUGCAGAGGAGUCGGCUCUAUGGAGGCUUGUGUGUGUCUUGGUUUAGUUCCUGAACAGAAGGCAUAGUGGGGAGGGGCAGGGACAGCAGGGUUGUCCACGUGAGUUGACUUAACAGAUGUCCUUUGGAGUGCUUGAGCAGUGGGUGAGAAAGGGUUGUCUGGGUUUUCCUGUGUAUGAUGUUGAGACCGAUGUAGGCCGUGUGCUGAGUUGUCCUAAGUCAUGAACCAUAAGAACACUUAGGAACCUUGAAGCAAUCCAUGCCUACAUGGAGGUAGAGUAAACGGAUGAGGUUUUGUGACACGGAUGUGUUCAGUUUCUUAGGUUUAUAGAUGAUUUGCUAGCUGCAAAGUAGAAUUUUUUUGUGUAUAGCACUUUUUUUUUCUACAGUUCGAGAUAGUAAUGGCCAGUUUUUAAGCCCUCAACAGCAGUUAGCGUAAUUGAAAAUUGCACUUAAUACUGACUUCCAAAGAUUUGAGCCUUUAUGCCAGAAAUGUACACAUGUGUUUUACAUGGUACUGUUUUUCUAGUUUCUCUGGCCCCAAACUUCAAAUCUGCCCCCUGUGUUUUCAAAUGGUAGCUAAAGUUCUAAGGUCCACUUAGUGUUUUCUUUCAGCUUGAGAGCUCUGUUUGACCACCACCGUGUGUGCACACAUCCUCUGCUCCCUGCCUUUACCUUUUUAGGUGGGCUCAUGGUGAACUUGCUCAUAUCAGCCUAGCUCCUCAAGUGUGUGUGUUAGAUCAAUCUCCACAGGACAAGUUAUCACCUGGCAUAUUGGAAAUGGAGAAGAAAUCUGAGGUGCUUUUCCAAGCCUCAUUGAUGCCUUCAUUCUUAUCGGUGGGAUGUGUGCCUGCUUCCAGCCAACAGUGGUAAUGUGUAAACUUGAGCCCAACGCAUAGAAUGUAAAGCCUCACUCUCCUGGUGUGUACAGCUCACAGACCUUCAAGAAAGUAGAUGUGCCUGUGCGUUAGUGCUGCUGGAAUGCAAAGAGCUUGAGGGAGUGAGUAGAGUGGGUAGAAUGUGAUCAACCAAAGCAAGCUGUAUGAAGGCAAGUUGGCAAGUGGGAGUGUUGGUUUCUACAGAAGAUUGGUAGAACUUAGCAGAAAUAAGUGCUAAUGACCCAGAAAAACAGUGUCAACUACUGGGAGUGUUUGGACAGUGCGUUUUCAGGGACUGAGAAUCAGCUUGAACCCUUAGCAAAUUUAAUGCUCAGGCUGCUUAUGACUUCCAUAAAAUACUGCAGUGGUUGGACUUAGGACCUUUUUUUCGUGUUGGGGUUUAUCUGUGUGGACCAGGUUGUCCUUGAUUCGCCUGCCCCCAAGUGCUGGGAUUAUAGACAUGCUUUCACUGCCCAACUGGUUUCUCAAAUCUCAAACCUAUAUUAGGGCCUGAACAUGGUGUUUGGUUUAGUGGGGGAGGGCAGUUUGUACAGUAUGCUCUGACCAUUCAUCCAAACCAGUAGCUUCAACUUGAUCUGGUCUGUUUUGUGCUACCCCUAAACUGCUCAGUGGAGCCACCCACUGGAGCAUGGUCAACCUACCAACAGUCUUUAAAACUUGACUACCCCACAGGCCCUCCAUGUCUGCAUUCCUCAGUGUGGGGCUGAGGCACCUGAGCCUCUUGCUCCUUCUGAGCAUGGAGAUGGCAGCCACAGCUACAUGGUAAGUUGUAGGCUAUGUGAAACCCUAUACCAAAACUGCAGCCACAGCCCAAGUUCUCCCUCUGCUCACCAGUCUUGUAUUCUGCAUUGGUACAUGUGUCGGUGCUAAUUAACUGCAAGUCUUCCUGCAUGGGGUUUCCAAGCAGACCAGGAACACAGGUGCUAGCACCUAGGGACAAAGCCAAUGAUGUCGGAAAUUUUUGUGAUGUGUGUAGUUAAAAUGAAGAAACAAGGAACCUUCUCAGAUUACAAAAUUACAGCAAAUGAUUUUCUUGGAACUUUGUAGUUUAAUGGUUUAUUGCCCCUGUAAUGUGUAAGCUCCAGUUUGAAGACCGCCCUUCUGAGUUACCGUGUGCUACUUGGCUAACAGGUUAAGUGUAAGAAGCCAAGGUUUUCCCACAUUGAAUGCUUAACCAGAUC
ensembl:lncRNA